rnacentral:rRNA from 1 species
UACGUAGGGUGCGAGCGUUAAUCGGAAUUACUGGGCGUAAAGCGUGCGCAGGCGGUUUUGUAAGUCAGGUGUGAAAUCCCCGGGCUUAACCUGGGAACUGCGUUUGAAACUACAAGGCUAGAGUGUGGCAGAGGGGGGUGGAAUUCCACGUGUAGCAGUGAAAUGCGUAGAGAUGUGGAGGAACACCGAUGGCGAAGGCAGCCCCCUGGGUUAACACUGACGCUCAGGCACGAAAGCGUGGGGAGCAAACAGG